rnacentral:rRNA from 1 species
GCGAGAAACCUUUGCAAUGUGCGCAAGCACGACAAGGUUAAUCCGAGUGUUUCCUGCUAAAGGAAUCUUUUGUUAGUUCUAAAACCACUGAUGAAUAAGAGGUGGGCAAGUUCUGGUGUCAGCCGCCGCGGUAAAACCAGCACCUCAAGUGGUCAGGAGGAUUAUUGGGCCUAAAGCAUCCGUAGCCGGUUCUGUAAGUUUUCGGUUAAAUCCACUAGCUUAACUAAUGGGCUGCCGAAAAUACUGCAGAACUAGGGAGUGGGAGAGGUAGACGGUACUCGGUAGGAAGGGGUAAAAUCCUUUGAUCUAUUGAUGACCACCUGUGGCGAAGGCGGUCUACCAGAACACGUUCGACGGUGAGGGAUGAAAGCUGGGGGAGCAAACCGGAUUAGAUACCCCGGUAGUCCCUGAGCGGGCUGGCAAGGCGCAU